CAGUCGCCGCGGGAACACGUAGGUGGCAAGCGUUGUCCGGAAUUAUUGGGCGUAAAGGGCUCGCAGGCGGUUUCUUAAGUCUGAUGUGAAAGCCCCCGGCUCAACCGGGGAGGGUCAUUGGAAACUGGGAAACUUGAGUGCAGAAGAGGAGAGUGGAAUUCCACGUGUAGCGGUGAAAUGCGUAGAGAUGUGGAGGAACACCAGUGGCGAAGGCGACUCUCUGGUCUGUAACUGACGCUGAGGAGCGAAAGCGUGGGGAGCGAACAGGAUUAGAUACCCGAGUAGUCCCUGUCUCUUAUAA
rnacentral:rRNA from 1 species